GGACGCGCGCAGGGGCCUGCGGGCUCCGGCCGCUGCCGCCGGACGCGCGCAGGGCGCUUCGGGCUCCGGCCCCCGCCGCCGGGACCCGUGGCGGCAGCCAGGCCGCGUUGACCUGGCGCAGCGUCUCCGCUCCACCCGUGACUCUGACCCUCUCCUUCCCUCUCCUCCCUCUCUCUCGUCUACUCCGCCACCGCUGUGCGUGCGAUGCCGCCGACAGGCUCCUCCAGCAUGGGAUCCUCGCGCGCGUGGCUACCAGGGCGGGAGGUUUUCGUGCGCGUAGCUCCUAGAUCCAGGCCAAGCAGCGUUGGAAGGCGGCCCAGGAGGGGCAGGGCGGCGGCGGCGGGCACCAAGUGGAUCAGGAUGGCGAGGACGACCUCGAGGAGUUCCGGCUGCCGAUGAGCCACUGGCCGACCGAGAACCUCGACACGGAGGGGCCCGAGCAGGCCUUCCUCCUCAAAAGUAAUCACCCGUCCGUCCAUCCCAUCUCUCUCUCUCUCUCUCUCUCUCUCUCUCUCUCUCUCUCCCCCGCUGUCGCCGCCCACCGAUAUUAUCCCUCCGUGCUGCCGCUACUGGGAUGAGAAUCUCGUGCGUGGGCGCUAGGUCAGGCAUGUCUCUCUCCCUCUCUCUGAUUUCCUCAAAUUGAGGUCCUGAUCUAGGGUUUAGGCCAUGGAAGCUACGGCUGGACUAUGGGGACCCCGUCAAUCCAUGGCACCAAUGUUGGUCUCAAGUUCACAAAACUUAAUCCCCCAAUCCCCCUUUACUACUACUGCCCUACGAUUGCUGCUUGUUAUUGGGGUUCAGAAAGUGAUAGGUUACCACCAAGGUUGCAAAUUAUGUGCAUAAUUGGUCUGCAGUUUGAUGUAUUUUAGAUUUGGUCGAUUAAUACUGGAUAUAGUUGGCAAGUUGUUUAGUGAAAUGUUCUAUCAAUAACAAUGGUCUGCUAUUGCUUGCUUCUAGCAGCUGACAUACAUGAAGGCUUGUGCUGUUGUGUAUGCUAAAUCAUCUUUUACAUUGCCUGCUUUUGACUCACUUUAAUUGUCAUUGCCCUGAGAAUCAUGUUUCUACGUGGCAUGAUUUCUAACAUGCCAUGUUAUGCUUGACUCCACUGAACAAAUGAUGUGUUUUUUGGUGCUGGACUCCACUGAGUCCAAGUGUGACUGACUUGACUAUUGGAUCAUAUCCUGCUUGGGUCUAAAUUUAAUUUUUUUUUCAGUGCCUCAGUUCUAUCGAUUUAUUCAUUGUAACUGCAGCCUUUAAUUGUUUGAAUUUUGUGCAGGUAAGCAGCACAUGAGUUGUCUUCUAAUUAGACUGAUGGUUUAAUCAUUCAGAAAUGCAUGAAUAUUUCAAAGUGAUUUCAUUAUGUUGCUUGACUCUGCUGAUAUUGCACACACUUUGCAACCAGUCUAUGCAAUGAUCUAUACAGGUAGAUAGAUAAUGUCCAUUCCCUUUUCUAUGAUGCCACAAGCAGGAUGGCUCAUGAAUGUCAACUGGCGAAGCAAAUAAAAAUAUCUGGAAUCACAACUACGGUGGAUUUUUUUGGCUUUCAAUUUAUCUCACCUCUUUUUGCAGAAUUAUGGACUAACUCUUUAUCAAUGAAAUAACUUUCGCAUUUUUUUAAGUGGGUCUGAGGUCUAUUUCAUUAUAUGGUUGAUGUUUGUCAAGCCUUUUACAUUAUUUCUUUUGUAAAUAAUUGCAUUGGUUUUCAUGUUGAAUCAAAACUGUAGCAGAUUCGGCGGUAGUAUAUGCUUAAUCGAUAGUUGUAUACCAAAGUGACAUACCUUUAUUUUGGCAAGCCACCUGAUGAAAUAGCCAAUCUAUUGUAACGGACUAUCUUGCAUGCCUAGAAAGGCUAAAUUGUUCAUGUAUUCAGGGUUAUUGUUCAGGACAUGGGUUAAAAAUAUAAAAUCAGGUAAGAGGUGUCUUGGUUGUAUCCAAUGUUCCUCCAUGACACAUGAAAAUAAUACUUCUAGAAAUAGAAUAAAUUCUGGAUAAAAUAAAGCUGUAUAUGUGCAUUCAGUUACUUCAAUAUGUGCAAAUACUUCUUCCUGAUUAAUUGAUCAGUGUUAUGCAGACAAGAAGGAAAAUGAUUUAGCAUGUAAGCUUCUUUUGAGGCAAAAUUUCAGAUUUAUUUUUUUUUAUUUUUGAAACUUUUCUUACAAGUGUGCAGAUGUUUGUGGUGCUUUCAGGCCAUGUUGCAGACGUGCUGAUGAUGAUCCUUUCAGGAGAUGGUAUAAGUAGAACUGAAACUCUACAUUGUAUAAGUAAUUAGCAUCUCAACUAUAUAUUUGACAGUAUGGAGAUGCCCAAGCCGAGAGCAACACGCACUGCAUGAAGACCUCUUUCUUAUCCAUUGCUGUAGAGGAACUGUACCAAAUUGAAAGGGAAUUUGUACCAUGAUUUCAUAGAGUGCUUACUGCAAAGGUGGAUGGGAUCAUUCCACGCUAUGCUUGUGCUACGGAGGCCCCAGAGUUGCAAGAUGAUGGCAUUAUCAUCGCCCUCGCUAAGUCCACUGCCAUGGCAAAUUUGUGCCAAACACAGUUGCGGAGAUGUGCUGAGUCUGCUACCAGGUUGCUUGCUCAAGGUUAGUACCAGGGAUGCAUUGUGACGGGCUCCUGAUGUUGAAUUCUAUUUUGUGUGUGUAUGUCAUUGUAAGAGAAAAGAAUCAUAAAGAGGGAAAUAAUUUAUAAAAAGCUGUGACAUAUAUGCCUAACACAGAUGUUAACACUUCAAGCUGUCAUCAGAAUGAAUCCAUGUAAAACUCCUGGUGCAUUAAGUCGAGUAUUGCUUUAACUAA